rnacentral:misc_RNA from 1 species
GCAGAAGCAGCUUCUUCUCUCUCAGGUAAGCUGGUGUUUUUUUCCCUAGGGUUUCAGAAUUAAACAUAUCCAAAUGGCUCCUAAAGCUGAUUUGACCAAGAAGUCUGACCCUAAGGCUCAAGCCGUUAAGGCUGCCAAGGCUGUCAAGUCAGGAUCAACCUUCAAGAAGAAGUCACAGAAGAUCAGGACAAAGGUUACAUUCCACCGUCCUAGGACUUUGAAGAAGGAUAGAAGCCCCAAGUAUCCUCGUGUUAGUGCACCUGGAAGGAACAAACUUGAUCAAUAUGCUAUUCUAAAGUAUCCUCUCACCACCGAGUCUGCAAUGAAGAAGAUUGAAGACAAUAACACCCUUGUUUUCAUUGUUGACAUCAAAGCUGAUAAGAAGAAGAUCAAGGCUGCUGUGAAGAAGAUGUAUGACAUUCAGACUAAGAAAAUCAAUACCUUGAUCAGGCCUGAUGGAACUAAG